CCCGCAACACUGCUCAGAUGUUGAAGUUAUCGACUGGCUGACCACAACGCCGCCAUAUUGCAUUUGAAAAUUGGUUCGUGAUUUGGUGAGCUUUUGUCCGCAUGUAAUAAUGAACCAAAAUCGCUUGGAUAAAGUUUUAUCAGGUGAGCUUUUGUUACUUCGGAUCGUACGAUUGAUGGCUGCCAUAAAUCGACACCAAUAUUUCUUCGGGAUAUAAACUGCUAACAUGCAACAGUACCGUGCAGCAUAUUUUGUUAGCAUGCCGAGUGGACGGAGGAAACUUUCUCGAACCAUUUACACCUAUCCGCAAAUGCACCGAAAACCGUUUCCACUGAGGGAAGCCACUAUGGAGCAGUUUACUUCCUGAACUUCCCUACUUAUGAACAUUGAGUAGGUAAUGGAAUCAUCUAUUUUUCUGCAUCCACAAUAAGUGUACCCGUUUUUUAAUGUCCCACUUAUUUUCCUGGAUGUCCUUCAUUUUCCACAUAAUCACUGUGGCAAUCUACAGGUACUCUUCCACGAUGCUGGUGCUGGUACUCAGCAAAUAUUUAUGUAUCGUUAGCAUUUGUCGUCGUCUAAUAAAACCAGAUUUACGUGCCGCUCAAUGAUGUUCUCUCCACGGUGGUAAAUAACUCGUGUGAAACAUGAAAGUUUCGAGUGAGAGGCCGCUCACCUUUCGCCCUGCCAUUUCACCGGAUGGGAUGAUGUUCAAGAUGACACGCUGCCCCUGGAUGAUAUUACCAUUACACUUGAGAGUUGCGGAUGGACCGAUCAGGACAACGAAUCACAGGUAACCGCGAUUCUACCGAUAUAAAUACUGUAAAUAAUGGCAAACGACAGUAGAAUUAACCAUUCAAUAAUCUGCUGCAUUUCACUAUGUCGCUCUAUAUGGAGAAAAUUUAAAAAAAACGUUUUGGACAAAAUUAAAUUAAAUUCAUGAAGUGCGUAUGUAUGUAUGCAAUAAAAAUUAGAAAAUGAGAACAAAAAACAUUC